rnacentral:rRNA from 1 species
CCUACGGGAGGCAGCAGUAGGGAAUUUUCGGCAAUGGGGGGAACCCUGACCGAGCAACGCCGCGUGAACGAAGAAGUUAUUCGUAAUGUAAAGUUCUUUUAACAGGGAAGAAAGAGAAAUUUGACGGUACCUGAAGAAUAAGCUCCGGCUAACUACGUGCCAGCAGCCGCGGGAAUACGUAGGGAGCGAGCGUUAUCCGGAAUUAUUGGGCGAAAAGGGUGAGUAGAUGGCAUAGUAAGUCUUUGGUAAAAAUGCUGGGCUAAACCCAGUAGGGCAAAAGAUACUGUAAUGCUAGAGUAUGACAGAGGCAAGUGGAACGACUGGUGUAGCGGUAAAAUGCGUAAAUAUAUGUAAGAACACCAGUGGCGAAGGCGGUGUGCUGGGUCGAUACUGACAUUGAGGCACGAAAGCGUGGGGAGCAAACAGGAUUAGAUACCCUAGUAGUC